GACGAACGCUGGCGGCGUGCUUAACACAUGCAAGUCGAACGGAAAGGCCCUGCUUUUGUGGGGUGCUCGAGUGGCGAACGGGUGAGUAACACGUGAGUAACCUGCCCUUUACUUUGGGAUAACUUCAGGAAACUGGGGCUAAUACCGGAUAGGAGCUCCUGCUGCAUGGUGGGGGUUGGAAAGUUUCGGCGGUUGGGGAUGGACUCGCGGCUUAUCAGCUUGUUGGUGGGGUAGUGGCUUACCAAGGCUUUGACGGGUAGCCGGCAUGAGAGGGUGACCGGCGACAUUGGGACUGAGAGACGGCCCAGACGCGUACGGGAGGCAGCAGGGGGGAAUAUUGCACAAUGGGCGGAAGUCUGAUGCAGAAACGCCGCGUGCGGGAUGACGGCCUUCGGGUUGUAAACCGCUUUAGCCUGUGACGAAGCGUGAGUGACGGUAAUGGGUAAAGAAGCACCGGCUAACUACGUG
rnacentral:rRNA from 1 species